rnacentral:lncRNA from 10 species
CUCUAGGGUGGAAGGCUGCGGGCGUCCUACCAGUGCCAGGACUGCCAGAGCGGGAGGAGCGCGGCGCGGGCCAGCCGGGACUGCUGGACAGCGGGGUCCAGGCUAGAGGCGAGCGAGCGGUCCACCUCCUAACAAAUUAUUGGAAGGAAUAUGAGAAAAGUGUAGACAAAGCGGUCCUGGCUCUGCGUGUGCAGCUCCACCAGCAUGCACAUGGUGGACCACUGGGCUCUUCGGAGUGAAGAGAACUCCAGGUGCUUGUCCCUUGCCAGCGUGAGAAACGCAUCCCGACCAUCCAUCAGAUCGCAGGGGAUGAGAGGAUCAGGAUCAACAAUGGGAGGCAGGGAGUUGGCAGCAGGGCCAGCAAUGAGGCGGAUCACAAAGAAGACCUGAAAAACAGACAGUCUCUUUUUUUUGAGACAGGGCCUCGCUCUGUCAUCCAGGCUGGAAUGCAGUGGCGUGAUCUUGGCUCACUACAACCUCUGCCUCCUGGGCUCAAGCAAUUAUCCCACCAUGGCCUCCUGAAUAGCUGAGACCACAGGCCCACACCACCACACCUGGCUAAUUUCUGCAUUUUUUGUAGAGACGAGGCUUCGCCAUGUUGCCCAGGCUGGUCUCAAACUCCUAAGCUCAAGUGAUCUGCCUGCCUCAGCCUCCCAGAGUGCUGGGAUUACAGGUGUGAGCAGGUACAGCAGGCUGAGCACCAAUGAGACUGGCGAAUGCUGAGUUAGUUUCACCACCAUACGCCUCCUGUUCCUUUUCCUGCUUUACCUCUUUGGUCUCUUGAGACUGACUAUAAAUAGAACUGAAAUGCACAUCCUGUGAUUUUUUUCUCCUUCAUUCAGUAACUCCUUCAGAGUAACAAUGGUCUGGGUGAGGUAUAGCACCAUGCACAGUGGACAUUUUGCCUCAAGGCAGUCUACUUUAAGAUGCAAUCCAUGGUUUAACCUCAAUCUAAUUACAACAAACCAGACAAAUCCAAAUAUGGAGACAGUAUGAAAAACAACUGGCCUGGACUCAUGAAGGUCCCCUAUGCAACUUUCCUGUGUAACUUUUCCUACAGGUUUGGAAGGGAAUGGAAUGGAUAAAAAAUCUUAGUCUUUGUUGACAAAGCAAUAAAAUUCUUGUUCAUUGAAGUUUGAAAAAACUUGUAACAACCAUCAAUUCUCAUAACCAUUAGUGUAAAAGGUAUAAAAAGCUGGUAUUACAUAUGUAUUUGACAUUAAUUAGUAUAUAACUAUAAACACCUAUUAAAGUAAUAAAAUGUAAAACAUCCCCUUAAGAAAUUAGGAACUUGUGAGAAACUGCUGUACUGAUAACAGAUUAUUCAACAUCUGUGCACACUGGCAGCCACACUCACAGUCUCUGGCCAGCAAUGUUCGCUGCUUCUGUCACCCUACAACCAGGCCAAUACUUGGAUUUACAACCUAAAUUUAAACAGCCAUGGAAUGUGUCCACAAUUUAAGUCAAACCUAUUACAAUAUAUUCUAAGGGCUUUUCCCAACUGCCUAGGAUUCUGUGGCAUUACUUACUGCUUGAAAUAGCUAGUAACUAUUAAUUGUUAAUAAUCAUUACCUAACGUAUUAGAACUCAGGAAUCCUUCCAUUUCACUAGCAUGGCUGAGAUAAUGGUUAUUACCAUUAUUACAUCGUAGCCCAUUAUUCUAGGCUAACAAAAAAGGGGUGGUGAUGGGGGGAGCAGUGGGGGAAAAGAUACUUUGAACACCUAUGUAUAUAGGUGUUCACCAUGAUAACAUCAUUAUAACAAAUUCCUCUCUAAAAAAGAUUUUGUUAACUAUUUCUCUCCCAAAGAGACUGUUUAACCAAUUUUUAGGUACGGAAUUACAACCUGAAAUCAAGCCUUCAUUUCCCUCUCAACUUAAUUACCACUUCCUAUAAGAACUUGAUUAUAUGUCUGAGAACCGAGAUAGUAAAAUGAGGAGUCUGACUGAACAAUCGAGAUUACUACCAUUGGACAAACCCUGAGAGGAAUUACUCUUCAAUUCUCCUGGCUUUCGUUAUCAAUUAUAUGAUAUUAAAGAGAGAAAAAAAAAACCUUACCCAGUUAUUUUCCCAAAUGACUGCAAGAACAACUAAACAAUGUAAAUGAUGAAAUAACUCAAAAAGUUUUGAGAAGGGGGUUGUAAGUCCAUAUGUGGAAGUUUAACUUUUCUCCAAUUCUAUUUACUAAUUCACUUUCAGAAAGGUUAAAUCUUUUUAUUUUUUGAAACAGAGUCUCGUUCUGUCACCCAGGCUGUAAGUGCACUGCAACCUCUGCCUCCCAGGUUCAAGUGAUCCUCCCACCCCAGCAUCCCAAGGAUUACAGGUGUGUGCCACCACGCCAGGCUAAUUUUUGUAUUUUUAGUAGAGACGGGGUUUCGGUUCGCCAUGUUGGCCAGGCUGGUCUCCAACUCCUGACCUCAAGUGAUCCGCCUGCCUCAACCUCCAAAGUGCUGGGAUUACAGGCAUGAGCCACCACGCCCAGCGAACAGUCAGUGUUUUUAUUCAUUUCUUAUUUCUUUUUCUGAGGUGGAGUUUCGCUCUUGUUGCCCAGGCUGGAGUGCAAUGGAGUGACCUCGGCUCACUGCAAUCUCCGCUUCUCAGGUUCAAGCAAUUCUCCUGCCUCAGCCUCCUGAGUAGCUGGGAUUACAGGCAUGUGCCACCAUGCCCAGCUAAUUUUGUAUUUUUAGUAGAGCAAGGUUUCACCGUGUUGGUCAGGCUGGUCUUGAACUCCUGACCUCAGGUGAUCCACCCGCCUUGGCCUCCCAAAGUGCUGGGAUUACAGGUGUGAGCCACCAUGCCUGGCCAGAAAUCUUGCCGUUUUUCCCCAACUCUGGGUGGCUGCAUCUUACCUCUUUAUGCUUCUCCAUGGUGGCAUAUAGUUUCUGUGAGAGGUCGUUAGAUACAUUGGGCAUCCCGGGUUUCUUCUUGUUGCCCCUACUCAGGCUGCUCUUAUUUUUGCUGGUUUUCUUAUUAUUCUUCUUUUUAGCAUUUUUGCUGUCUCCCUUGGUCACCUGCAGAGUAGCACAAAGGAGACAAGAAAAUAAGGUUUU